CUUUUGGUGCACCUCUAAAUAUAAUUCACGAAAAAUAAUAUCGAUUAGUAACAAAUAUAAUCGUAUCGAACUAAAAAUACUGCAGUACCCUUAAAGAGAGAUAUAUUAAUAAGCUGAUAAGAAACAAAACCAAAAAAACAAAAAACUGGAAGAGGAAAAUGUCCAAGUGCAGCGAGGCAUUCCCUAAUCGUAGCCGUAGUUCAGUCCGUUCACCAGAUCUCGUGCUUCCAAGAGACGACCAGACCAGAGCAGACCAGACCAGACCAGAGAAUGUUCAUCCAUUAAUCCUGCGGGCAAAACGAUGCGCCAUCCUACCCGUUGGCUACCAGAGGAACGAUGAUACUACCGCAGCGUUUCAUCAUCCAUUUUCAAAUCACCCCGUUUCUAAAGAAGUUUUCACUUCAAUAAAAAGACUAAGGUUCUUCUAAGUCAAGUCAACUCCGGUAGAGAUAGUUGUAUACGAUAACAGGAUUCCGAGAGGACGAGGAAGGAAAUCGGUGAGAAAGAGAGAGACACAACCAGUCCUUUCUAGAAGUUGUCGGACCGGACGGCGAAUAUCCCCGAAGGUGACUCUCCGCAAUCGGGCUAACGGGGAAGAAAGGAUGAGAGGAAGUAAGGAAGUAAAAAUCAACAAAGAUACCAAAGGAAGUAUAAGACAGUCGAAAAGAGAGAGAGGGGGAGAAAGGGACAGGAGGAAGGGAGAAUUUGGAACGGUAGAAGACCUUCAACCAAGCGCGAAUUAAUUCAACGUACAACUCUCUCGCUCUUUCUCCCAUUCCCGUUUCCGUUCCCCUUCACCAAGCAGAGCCGUCUUCCCUCAUAACUUCGGUCUCACUCACUGAAGGGUUUCCUGGAAAGAUGGGCAAGAGCGAAAAGAGAAAGGGAGGAAGAGAGGAAGAAGAAGAAGAAGAAGAAGAAGAAGGAGUAUGGCAGAGAGAAUCGUUAUCGAAAAGGAAGGAUGCCACGCAGAAGGAACAUGGGGUAAAGGAUGAGACGGGACGAACGUGGAACCGGAGAUAAGAGAAGGAGGAGGAGGAUUGUUGGUGUGGAAUGGGGUGAUGAGGGAGAGGGAGAAAAAGUUCUUCCAAAGGAACAGAAAGCAAGCAAGCAAGCAAGCAAGGCAAGAUGGACUUGUUAAUGGAUGGGAUAUUCGUCCCGAACGAUAUUCCCGUUCCCGUUCUCGUUUAUCAUCUUCCGUUAGCAAACCCAUGCAGUGGAUCGUUAAAAGCCAAAGGUCUCGGGAAAGGAUAAAUAAUAUCCGUGAAGUGAAACACGUGCUUUAACCUAUUAUCGCACAAUAUGCAAUUAGCCGGACGCGUUAAUAUAGCCGUAAGUAUUAUUACGCGUAACAUAGGAAUGAAACUACCUUGCUUUACUACGUUUAUCUGAUUACGAAUGAACUUUCACGUUUUACACGUAUUAAAUAGAAAUAUAUAUAUAGAGAAUAUAUAUUGUUACAGAGGUUGUGACAAUAAAAAGCAGAGAUGUUAUUAUCGAUAUAAAAGGUACAAUCGAAUAUAAAGGAAACAAACGUUAGUUAAUCGUCUCUUUUACAAUCACACGCACGCCCACACCGCAUGUCCACCGGUGUACAGUUCGAUUUGCAUCGGGUACCACUUAACGGGUAUACCAAAUAUAUUCGUACCAGACAGCUUACCUUACACCCACUCAUUUACUCACUUACUUUCUCUCUCUCUUUCGAAUCUUUCUUUGUCGCGUUUCGUUUGCUCCUAUUUUUCUUCCUCGCUUAUCUCCCAUCUCAGUCUCUCCCACCCUUUCACAUUCUCUCUUUCCAAGUAAUAGCAGCAGCAGCAGCAGCUUCACCACCACCACUGUCGGCAGCUUCUCCUCCUCCUCCUCCUCCUCCUCCUCCUCCUCAUCCUACUUCUUCAGUGCGCACUCGAGAAAGCAUUUCCACCCUCCUGACUUGGGCAGAAAAGUGAGUUGACUAGUAGAGGGAUGAAGAGAGGGAAAGGAAGGAAGGAAGGAAAGAACGAACGACGAGGAGGGCAAAGAGGUGGCCCGAGGGAUGUUCGGAGUCCGUGGAGGCAGGGACGAACCCGACCCCUACCUUAACAAGCAACAAGGGUAGAGAAUUAAUGAGAGAGGGCGCUCAGGCAGACACUUGUGGCUACCGCCCAACCCUAGCCAUCAAACCGUACGCCGAUCCGCAGAAAACCCACGAAUUUAACGCGCCGAGCCAGCACCAGCACCACCAGCUUUCUCUCUCUCUCUCUCUCUCUUCUCUUUCUCUUUCUCUUUCUAUUUCUCUUUCGCUUACUUUCGAUUCGCGCGAAAACUACUACCCGCCGGUACAUUCUAUCGAUCCUUAACGAUAUCACGUAUACUUUCUUUGUUUCGCGAACUUUCACGAAGUACCGGCUGCUGCUGCUGCUGUUGCUGUUGCUGCUGUCUGGGACUCCUACCCUGAGAAAGAAAAAGAUAUCAAAAUGUACAACAAAUAAAUCAAAGAGACAAAAUAAUUGUCUUCGUUAAUUACUACGAAUAGACGUCUCGUAGAAGAAGAAUAAAUAAAUAUUAUCAAUAAGAAUCUAUUUGUAAUACAUUCAAAUGGAAUUGUUAGAUUCUAAUCGUACACACAUGUAUUCUUAUUUAAACACGAUAAUAUUAUUGGAUUGGCAAGAAAGUAAUUUAGGUUUUCUAGUGUGAAACAAAACUCAAUUGUUUCUAAACUAAAUGACACGAAAUUUGUUUCUAUAGCAACCUAAAAGUGUCAACUACCAAACCUCAAAAGAAUAACGAAACAAACAUAACGCUAUCUAUUGGUGCAAGCCGAAAUUACUUUCUUGCCAACCAAAUAUAUUGACACACAUUUACUUGAGUACAAUUUUUAUUAAUGAUAGGUUAUGUUUUAUAUAGGUUAUGUUUUUUUAAAUUAAGUAAGAUAUUUAACAUAAAGUAACAUAACUUUGAAAAGAUAAUUUUAACGAUGAAAAUAGGAAAAUAUCCCUCUCACGUUGAAGAAGGUGUCUCAUUUAAGUAACCAACGAGUCAGAGAGAGAGAGAGAGAAAGGGAAAGUACAAAAAUGCGAAUGCGCGAUGCUUCGUUGGAAAGCCGCUAACAAAAGGGUGAACAUCUGGUUGUUCGUCCACUUCUCUCCUCUCCUCUCCCUUAUCCCUCUCUCUCUUUCUUUUUCUCACCACACGCGUCCAUUUCUACAAAAAGCCAGACGCUAAUUUCUGGCCGCCCGCAUAUUACGCGGCGCGAGCCUUUAUUUUAAUUAACACUCAGCGGAUUAGUCAGCACACGGGACACACGUUCGAGCAUUCCCAAGUUUCCCCCAUUAAUUUGGGGGGAAAAAAGGGUGCUGGAUAUGAACGUUUCGAUCUCUAAUUCGUAUCCCAACACCCAUCCCCAAUAAAACAAAAAAAGGUGGAUAUAAAAAUGAAAUGUCUUUAUCUAACAAUAAACGUAAGCUAAUAACAAAUUGUUCGCGUUAUAAGUCAUAAGCAGAUGCUUCGUAAAAUUCGUAUUUUACAAGCUCAAAAAUCGACAUUCCCCGAUGUACUAGGAGAAAGAAAGAAAGAGAGAGAAAGAGAGAGAGAGAGAUGGGGAGAAGAAAAAUGAAAAAGUUGGGAAUCGGUGAAUCGAAAAAGUGUGCAGGACGCGACAAGCGGAGGUUGGUGGGCGCAUAAGAGGGAAAGAGAAGAGAAGAAAAAUGGGAAUGAGAGACGACGGGGCCCUUUGGGUGUGCGUGCUGAAGCCCCUGUGCUGUGCUUCGCGUUUCGUAUCGUAAAAAUCGAAUAUUUCCACGGGCGUAGGCGAACGUCGGUCGAGUAUGGGAGAGGAGGCGUAGAGUAGAGCCACCUUUAUGUCCAUAGACGUGACUCUGCUGCAGCCACCACCACCACCGGCAACCGUGGAAAUAUAUGGGGCCGUAACGGUUGCUGCUGUGAGAACUCGUGGAAGCGUCGAGGGAGUAACGGGGAAAGGAGAAAUGAUAGAGGGAAUGUGUAGAAAGAGAGAAAGAAAGAGAGAGAGAGAGAGAGAGAAAGUGAGUGGGGAAAAAGACGAAGAGGAAAUGAUGGAAAGGAGGACGGAGCGAGUGUUGUAGAUGAGCGUACGAGAGAGAGAGAAAGAUAAAGAAUAAAAAAGAAAAAAAGGAAAAGAGAAAGAGAGAGAAAAAGAGAA
rnacentral:lncRNA from 1 species